rnacentral:lncRNA from 1 species
GUUUCCGGCCCCUUUCUCUGGAGGAUCUCCGCGCGUGGCGAGUCUGUGUCCUCCCUGUCCCCCAGAGCAGACACCCUCUCUGUGUCUGGACCGGGGAGGAGCAGACGCUGGACAGGUGUCUGACUCUGCAGGGCCCUAGUGGUAUAAAGGUACUGAGACUUGCCUGUGUUCAGGGCUUCCUGAAGAUUAAAUGGCUGCCGAAGUUCUUGAGUUUAGCUUUAGCUCAAAAGAUACUGCGUCAGACUCUGCGUUCUGAGUAGAGUCUCAGAGAAUGAAAAAAGAAAUACAAUGAAAAAGGGGAAAACUUCAAUCCAGAACCUCUUACCACAGUUUCUGGUAGAAUGCUGGCAAUUUCCAGGAAGAUACGUGGAGAACGGAAAGGUUGCUACACCCAAAUAGUGAAGCAAAGGCUAUGAUUAUGGAGGAUUGGACCUGCAAACUCCAGAACAGAGCAACCUUGUAAAAUGUGUGUGGGCAGCACAGAGAACUUGGGCAAGUUAACAGUUUCCUCAUCUGUGAAUACUGAUUUAUGGAAAGCACCUGGUGCGUG